AACUCGUAGAUUAAUUUUAAUAAUCAUUAUGAGCUUGUCCUGCUCGAUGAAUAUUAUACAUUUCAAUAGCCGCAGUACUUUGACUGUGCUAAGGUAGCAUAAUCAUUUGGCCUUUAAUUGGGGUCUAGUAUGAAAGGAAUGACUUGGGAAUCACUGUCUCAGCUUACACUAAUAUAAAUUUUUUUCACGAGGUGAAAAUACCUCCAAUUUAAAAGAAAGACGAGAAGACCCUUAGACUUUUUAUUAAAUUAUUGUAGUACAAUAAAAAUUUAUGUUGGGGCGACACUGAUUCAGUUAUUUAUUUUAACAAUCGGAUUGAUUUUAAUUUUUUAUAAAUCUAAAGUUUUUAAUAUUAUUUAAGGUACCUGAGGGAUAACAGCAUAAUUAUUUUAAUACAUUGUGACCUCGAUGUUGGACUAGGAAAAUAAUUUUUAAGAUAAAAAUUAUAAUUAGUUCUGUUCGAACUGUAGUAUCCU
rnacentral:rRNA from 1 species